rnacentral:rRNA from 1 species
CUUGGUCAUUUAGAGGAAGUAAAAGUCGUAACAAGGUUUCCGUAGGUGAACCUGCGGAAGGAUCAUUACCUAGAGUUUGUAGACUUCGGUCUGCUACCUCUUACCCAUGUCUUUUGAGUACCUUCGUUUCCUCGGCGGGUCCGCCCGCCGAUUGGACAACAUUCAAACCCUUUGCAGUUGCAAUCAGCGUCUGAAAAAACAUAAUAGUUACAACUUUCAACAACGGAUCUCUUGGUUCUGGCAUCGAUGAAGAACGCAGCGAAAUGCGAUAAGUAAUGUGAAUUGCAGAAUUCAGUGAAUCAUCGAAUCUUUGAACGCACAUUGCGCCCGCCAGUAUUCUGGCGGGCAUGCCUGUUCGAGCGUCAUUUCAACCAUCAAGCCCCCGGCUUGUGUUGGGGACCUGCGGCUGCCGCAGGCCCUGAAAACCAGUGGCGGGCUCGCUAGUCACUCCGAGCGUAGUAAUACAUCUCGCUCAGGGCGUGCUGCGGGUCCCGGCCGUUAAAAGCCUUAUUUACCCAAGGUUGACCUCGGAUCAGGUAGGAAGACCCGCUGAACUUAAGCAUAUCAAUAAGCGGAGG